GAUUCUAAGGACAAUGUGAAUCAUUGUUGGAGUGUUUGGAGAUGAUGGACAUCCUGGCUGCUCCCAGCCAUGAGAUGAAGAAACUGACAGACUGAAUGAGGCAAAGUAUGACUUACUUGAGAUCAUACAGGUAUGGACAGAAUCCAGGAUUUGCAUCCAGGUGGUUUCCCCAGCGUGUACACUGGUUCAAACAGGAGUCCAAAAGCUGUCCCUCGGGUGUACGAUGUCUGAUAAAGAUGAAGCCAAUGCAUAAAGUCAUCCAACUUCACUUCACGAAAAUGUCAUACCAUAUAACUUUUCUAAAUUGGAAGUUUGCUGUUCCAGUGCCAAUGUUAUAAAAACAUUCCCUGACUAUAAAAUGGAAAAGAAAGGAAAAUGGGGCAUGGAGUAAAAGAGGCAGUCUUGUUCUCAAGAACUAGGAGGGCUGGUCACCCAUUGAAGAAAAUCUUUAUUUUUUUUCCUAUAUGAAAACAUACGAACUCAUUCUUGUGUAAUUUAAUUCAGCAAAUGUUUGUUAAAUGUCCUUACUAUAUAGGACACUUGUAGAAGAAAGCAGAAGGGUAAGAAAGUGCUCCAGUUUUGCUUUUCCAAUUUUAUUUUGUUUUAUUCUAUUUUAUUAAAA